UGCUAUUCUUCAGCUGUACGAUCAGAACGACAGUCUGGCUGACCAGCAGAGUGCUAACGGUGGGCCGGCGACUUGAUUCAUUGUUGUGAAUCAUCUCUGUAGGUCUAAAAAGCGUGUUCAUUUCAACACCUCCUUAGAACAUGAGAGGGAGUUCGGUACAAGGAGGGGGGAGGGAGGGCUAUCUCUGACUCACAUUGGACACAGAGGAGCCGAAAAAGGUAGCUGAAGGUUUCUCUGUCAUCCCCUAUCCCGUCACUAUCAGACCGCCACGAGGAGAUGUGCUCUGACUCACGGUGAAGUACACAUCAUCAUUGUGACAUCAUUCCAACAAUGACUGGUUUGGGAUAAUCGCUCAAUUACGGUAUGUGAGUAUAUGAAAGCUACAUGUAAAAGUUUAUAAGAAACUGCUACAUAAUGUGUUCAGUAGCAAAGGAGGUGCUUCUACAUAGAAGAUAUCACGCAUUAUGGUAGUUGCAGACAAGGUGUGGUGAAUUGCAUUUAAUUUCUUAAGUUUUUAUCGGGUAUAGCUAACUUAAUCAGUUUUUAUUAUUGUGCCCAGUGAGCUUUUGAAAGCCACGACUAUCAGCGGAUCCGUCUAUGAGCAGAUAUAUUAGGGAUUUUUAGCGCUCCUGUGUGUAUCUAUGUAAGCGCUCGGUGAAGAGUGUGAAGAGAUGAUCAUUGUAGACAAUCACAGACAUAUCUGUUGAGCACAAGAACAAAAUGGCCAAUCAGAGGUGUUUGAGAAUACACACAACAGUGCUCAAAAUACUGGCAUCGUCACAUUAAAAUUUCAGUACCGACUGGUACAAUCAUAGAUACUUUUGACAACACUACUUUGAACAAAU